CAGAGCCCCAUCCAAACUGGCCUUGAACACUCACAGGGACAGGGCAGCCACAGCUUUUCCUGUGCCAAUGCCUCACGAACCUCACACCAAGGGCAUGCUACCUUCCAGAAGCCCAGUCAUGACUCCCAGUCAAACCCUAUGAAGUUGUGAGGUGCAAGGUAGAGAUGAUGAAGAAAUUCUGCUGAUUGAGAAGCAGACCAGCUGAUAAAAGAAAAAUCAAUGCCUGAGCAUCAGUACAGUGUAAUAAAAGCAAUAUCUCAUUUUGA